CAGGCCUAACACAUGCAAGUCGAGGGGCAUCAGGAAGAAAGCUUGCUUUCUUUGCCGGCGACCGGCGCACGGGUGAGCAACACGUAUCCAACCUGCCCUUUACUCGGGGAUAGCCUUUCGAAAGAAAGAUUAAUACCCGAUAGUAUAAUGAUUCCGCAUGGUUUCAUUAUUAAAGGAUUCCGGUAAAGGAUGGGGAUGCGUUCCAUUAGGUUGUUGGUGAGGUAACGGCUCACCAAGCCUUCGAUGGAUAGGGGUUCUGAGAGGAAGGUCCCCCCCAUUGGAACUGAGACACGGUCCAAACUCCUACGGGAGGCAGCAGUGAGGAAUAUUGGUCAAUGGGCGCUAGCCUGAACCAGCCAAGUAGCGUGAAGGAUGAAGGCUCUAUGGGUCGUAAACUUCUUUUAUAUAAGAAUAAAGUGCAGUAUGUAUACUGUUUUGUAUGUAUUAUAUGAAUAAGGAUCGGCUAACUCCGUGCCAGCAGCCGCGGUAAUACGGAGGAUCCGAGCGUUAUCCGGAUUUAUUGGGUUUAAAGGGAGCGUAGGUGGACUGGUAAGUCAGUUGUGAAAGUUUGCGGCUCAACCGUAAAAUUGCAGUUGAUACUGUCAGUCUUGAGUACAGUAGAGGUGGGCGGAAUUCGUGGUGUAGCGGUGAAAUGCUUAGAUAUCACGAAGAACUCCGAUUGCGAAGGCAGCUCACUGGACUGCAACUGACACUGAUGCUCGAAAGUGUGGGUAUCAAACAGGAUUAGAUACCCUGGUAGUCCACACAGUAAACGAUGAAUACUCGCUGUUUGCGAUAUACAGUAAGCGGCCAAGCGAAAGCAUUAAGUAUUCCACCUGGGGAGUACGCCGGCAACGGUGAAACUCAAAGGAAUUGACGGGGGCCCGCACAAGCGGAGGAACAUGUGGUUUAAUUCGAUGAUACGCGAGGAACCUUACCCGGGCUUAAAUUGCAGUGGAAUGAUGUGGAAACAUGUCAGUGAGCAAUCACCGCUGUGAAGGUGCUGCAUGGUUGUCGUCAGCUCGUGCCGUGAGGUGUCGGCUUAAGUGCCAUAACGAGCGCAACCCUUAUCUUCAGUUACUAACAGGUCAUGCUGAGGACUCUGGAGAGACUGCCGUCGUAAGAUGUGAGGAAGGUGGGGAUGACGUCAAAUCAGCACGGCCCUUACGUCCGGGGCUACACACGUGUUACAAUGGGGGGUACAGAAGGCAGCUAGCGGGUGACCGUAUGCUAAUCCCAAAAUCCUCUCUCAGUUCGGAUCGAAGUCUGCAACCCGACUUCGUGAAGCUGGAUUCGCUAGUAAUCGCGCAUCAGCCACGGCGCGGUGAAUACGUUCCCGGGCCUUGUACACACCGCCCGUCAAGCCAUGGGAGCCGGGGGUACCUGAAGUACGUAACCGCAAGGAUCGUCCUAGGGUAAAACUGGUGACUGGGGCUAAGA
rnacentral:rRNA from 1 species